CCUACGGGGGGCAGCAGUGAGGAAUAUUGGUCAAUGGGCGCGAGCCUGAACCAGCCAAGUCGCGUGAGGGAAGACGGUCCUAUGGAUUGUAAACCUCUUUUGUCGGGGAGCAAAAGACGCCACGCGUGGCGUUCCGAGAGUACCCGAAGAAAAAGCAUCGGCAAACUCCGUGCCAGCAGCCGCGGUAAUACGGAGGAUGCGAGCGUUGUCCGGAUUUAUUGGGUUAAAGGGGUGCGCAGGAGGAAGAUCAAGGCAGCGGUAAAAUUGAGAGGCUCAACCUCUUCGAGCCGUUGAAACUGGUUUUCGUGAGUGAGUGAGAAGUAUGCGGAAUGCGUGGUGUAGCGGUGAAAUGCAUAGAUAUCACGCAGAACUCCGAUUGCGAAGGCAGCAUACCGGCGCUCAACUGACGCUCAUGCACGAAAGUGUGGGUAUCGAACAGGAUUAGAUACCCCAGUAGUC
rnacentral:rRNA from 1 species